ensembl:lncRNA
CCCUUUCUGUCUAAGUCGCUGGUUUUUGAUCAGAAUAAAAAGUAAAAAGUACAAAGAGAAGCAAGCAGAUUUUAUGCAGAUUCUAGCUCUGUGAGACUAUGGAUGACAUAAGCAUUCACUUUCCAUUUAGCAUUCUGACCAAGUCUUCAGUCUGAUUUAUCUGAUGGCAGUGAUCAAUACUUUUAAAAAAAAUAAAAAAUAAAAAGCACACUCUUGUGACUAUGUCAAUAAUAACUAAAAUAUACCUUGCCUGUGCUUUCAAAAUGAAAGAUUGUCUUAUAUGGCUAGUGGCCAGUAGGCAGUUUUUGUUGUUUGCUAUUUAACUCGCAUGAAACAGUACCAUCAGGGAAAGUUCUUCAGUGUUUUUCUUGCUGCUGCUCUGAAAGUGUUUUCAUAAGAGACGACAUUCACAAUGUACAGUCAUAAACUGCCCCAAUGCUACAGUGGAUGACAGAAUGUGGAUUACUGCAUCGGGAGAUGAUCUAGGCUCCAAUGAGGAAGACUUGGCUGUGUUGACAGGGGAAGGUGGCGUUGCCCAAGUCAGACCCAGAGCUGACUGCUAUGCUUCCCCGGGACGCAAAGAGUGUCAGGCUGCAGUGGAAGGCUCUGCUGUCACCGGUUUGCUCAAGGCUGGACAGUUGCUACCUGGGGAUGGUACCAGGCCGAUUCUGCCCUGCUAUGGUCCUUCUUCUGGUUCUGACUCAGGCAUAAUGCAAGAACUACGUACAGCGACGGCUCAUAUGUCGGGAGAAAAUGACGACUGCUAUGUUCAUUAUUACAUCCAACAACAAAACACCUCAGUUGCUUAA